rnacentral:rRNA from 1 species
UACGAAGGGGGCUAGCGUUGUUCGGAUUAACUGGGCGUAAAGCGCGCGUAGGCGGGUUUUUAAGUCAGGGGUGAAAUCCCAAGGCUCAACGUUGGAACUGCCUUUGAUACUGGAAAUCUUGAGUCCGGGAGAGGUGAGUGGAACUGCGAGUGUAGAGGUGAAAUUCGUAGAUAUUCGCAAGAACACCAGUGGCGAAGGCGGCUCACUGGCCCGGUACUGACGCUGAGGUGCGAAAGCGUGGGGAGCAAACAGG